GCGGUACUGACAGGGAGGGAGGAAGUGUAAGGGUCAGUUUAAGAGGCACUACCCAUGGACGACACCCUUCCUGGACCAGUGUGUGCGUGCGUGCGUGUGUAUGUGUGUGUCGGCGUCAUUACUACCCCAAGGUGAAAGUGAGGAUUAAGAGCCACUCAAACCUCCCUUUUGAAGUACUUGUAUUUGGCUCGCAAGGAUGCUUCAAAAUCGAGUCCUUGUCUGUUCAUCGCUUCAUUGGAUCCAGUUCAUUGUUGGCUGUGGUGGGUGUCGGACCUGGGGCGGUGAUGUGCGUCUGUACUCGGCAGUUUAGUUGCAAUCACAAGCCCUAACAAAGAGUGGUAACAAAAAAAAAAAGAUCUACAGGCAGUCGUACUGAUUUGUGAGGCCAGGGAUGUCCUACCCAGUGUCGGGCCUAAGACAGUAACUUUGUAAUGACCUCGUUCAGCAAUAGUUUGAAGUGACGAGCCUUCUUAUGAGAGUGAGGUUGGGGGUCGGGGACGUGGAUCGUAGCCCGGCAAUCAUGAGUCAUCAUUCCUCUGAAAGCCACUCAAGGGAAGAGUGCCACCUAUAUCAACAUGUGCCCAAGGGUGAAGGACCAAGAUGUGCAGCGUGGGAGAGCUUCAUAGGGGAGUGUCAUGGGCUGCCAGAAAAACUGCUGAACACUGACUGGGGUGAGUGCAGAGCAUCAUGACAAAGGCAGCAGCCUACCAGGCGGUGGUGGAGGUGCAUGUGGUGCCACACCAGAUUAAACGUGCCUCGCUGCUGACCAUGGCCUCGGGGGAGCAUCACAAGAGCUGCUGCUGCUGGGGAGGCGAGUUUAUCAGCAGCGGCUCCUCCUCGUAGUUCUCCGUCUUCAUGUCGUUGAGGCCGAGGUCUUCGUUCUGCUGGUGGGAGCGCUCGUACUCCUCAACGGCCAUCAAGGAGCUUCUCCACCACAGCCUUGCGGUCGUCCUUGGAGGAGUCGCCCAUCAGGAAGGGGUUGGUCUCCAGGUCUUCCUUGAUGUUGGUCAGCAGGCCCUCCAGCGUGGUGAACCUGCACAGACAACAACACUCACUAGUCCGCCACACCUGCCACAACCACCCGCACCACGUAGCUCAUGGCCUGGAGAUCCGCCCCCUUCCUCACCCCAGCCUUUGCUAGAGUUGUCACUGAUUGACCAAUUGUUUUUCUUAAUAUCCAUGAUAGAAAAAUAUUUAGUGCAUGAAAUCACCCCAUAUCUAUAUUUAAUACCUUGAAAACAGUUAGAUGACAACAAAAAAUUGAAACUUUAAUCAUAUUAGCAUAAUUCUACAAAAACUCCCUCAGCCUGCGACACCCGAGCAGCACUGCCCGGGCCACAACCGAGUGGCGGCCACAAGCCACAGCCAGGGAUGUGCUGAGCAAGUGUAGCAUGCUGUGGAACGACUAUCUUGCUGGGAAUUUUUUCCUAUGAAUAUCCUAAUGUAAAGUGGUAAAGCAAUUUUGUCAUUUAAAAAUAUUUCAGAUAUGAAUCCAUAAGCUAUAUAAAUAUGGAGUAAUUUCAACCCUUGCGUAUUUUUUGCCAUAUCAAAUACAUCAGCCAGUCAGCUGUGACUCCAUGGAGGAGGCACAGCUUGGAGUGAGGAAGGUGACUGACUGCAACUAAAACAACUGUCAAGUCUGCUCUGCUGCAACCUACUGGAAAUGUAUUCACUAUAUAACUGGACAAAUAAAUAAACCUUGCCGUCCUC